CUUGUACUCCCUCCGUCCCAAAAUUCUUGUCUUAGAUUUGUCUAGAUAGGGAUGUAUCUAAUACUAAAACAUGACUUGAUACAUCUGUAUUUAGACAAAUCUAAGACACUAAUUUUGGGACGGAGGGAGUACUUG
rfam:Triticum urartu cultivar G1812 contig46710, whole genome shotgun sequence.